UAUGGACCAGGCAUGGUCCUGAGACCCCACCAGGCUGUACUGCUACUACCCCACUGAUGAGGACACGGGCCCAGGGACCCAGGUACAUGGCGAGCAUGUGAGGGAGGGGUGCAGACCACCCACAUGUGGAGGCCACGCUCACACCCACCCCCUGCCCAGGCACAGAGGGCCUGGCGCCCAGACACGAGGCACCUCCAGGCUGCAGGGGCCUUCUGCCUGGCAGCCGGUCUUGCUCAGAGAUCCCAGGCAGGAGAAUGGGGAUCAGCCACACUGAGUCUGAGCCCAAAGGCUGAACUCAGUGGGGCUUGGGAUUUCCUUCUAUGUCACACAGCCCAGGUCACUGGGAAGAAAAUACCCAACGUUGCUGGGCGCAGUGGCUCACACCUGUAAUCCCAGCACUUUGGGAGGCAGAGGCGGGCGGAUCACGAGGUCAGG
rnacentral:lncRNA from 10 species